UACAGAGGGUGCGAGCGUUGUCCGGAAUCACUGGGCGUAAAGGGCGCGUAAGCGGCUUGAUAAGCGUGCGGUGAAAGCCCGGGGCUCAACCCCGGGUCGGCCGUGCGAACUGUCGAGCUGGAGCACUGUAGAGGCAGGUGGAAUUCCGGGUGUAGCGGUGGAAUGCGUAGAGAUCCGGAAGAACACCGGUGGCGAAGGCGGCCUGCUGGGCAGUGGCUGACGCUGAGGCGCGACAGCGUGGGGAGCAAACAGG
rnacentral:rRNA from 1 species